CCGUACUCAAAAAUGGGGAAUUCCGAAGAAGAAAAAAUAAUAAUGAAAGUGGGUGUGGUCCACAUUAUUUACGUUCGCCGAACUUUCGACCUUCACACAAUUUUGAGAAUUGCACCAGUAAUUAGAUCCGUUAAAUUAGCUGUGCAGUGAAAGAUAUGGGACAUCACUCAAAGAUCGUGUAGGUCAGUUAAAAAGUAAGAUUACAAUACGAAAAAGAGAAGUUUAAUAACCUUUUAUAGGUAAUUGUUCAGCAUGGGAAAUUUAUAAAAGUAAAUACAAAUUAAGAGGGAGAUAACUAGUAAAGGAACAUAAGUCAACUUACUGUUAAACAACAAACAUACUUUCAACAUUUUGUGCGGGAACGUACUUAUUUGCAGGACGAAAAAUCUUGCUUUCAUCAAUUCCCACAACUAGUGGUUGCCCAUUACUAUCAACACUGUCGAUUUGCAUCGGGUUUUGUUCAUACAAACGUCACAUACUUUACAGCAGAAAUUACACCAAUCUACGAAUGUAGUCCGACUGUUUAUGAACAUUCUUGCGACAUAUCGCGUGACCAGCAAUGAAUGAUCAAAAGAAUUAACUGUGACGAACUUAUUUCCUCUUUUUACACCAACAUUUUCCCAUCAAUAGCGUCACCACGCGUAUUAAGGCCACAUGGUGAAUUACAAUUUUCGCAAGUGUACAUAUUCAUAAUUAGUUGACGCCGUUCCAACCACUGAAGAAUCUUGUCUCCUGAUUCGGCUAAUUGAAUGAUAUUCCAAGAUUCCUCUAAGGUUGAUUCACGAUUAAGGACAUUUAGGUGUAAGUAAAGAAUGAGAACGUAGUUAUCUCCCCCAGUAUUUUUUUACUUCCCUACACUGAACAGUUAUAUAUUUCAGACCCAAAGCUCAUCAUCAGAAGUAUGUUUACAUCUGAUGACGGACCAUUUAUAUUGUUAUUUUACUUCAUCAUAAUGAUUCAAGCAAGCUACAACGUUCUUCUGUAGGUUAGUAAACCGAAAUGUUAAAAUUUUGACUACAUCAGCUGUUUGUAAAGAUCAAAAAGAUAAUAAUAAAGUCCACUAUAUUUAGAUCGGUUAAAUUAGCUGCGCAGUGAAAGAUGUAGGACUUCACUCAAAGAUCGUGUAGGUCAGUUAAAAAUGUUUAAAAUUUGACUACAUCAGCUGUUUGUAAAGAUAAGAAUAAAAGUACAUUUAUACAUAACUUUAAAGGUCACUUUUCCGUUGAUUAUAUUAACCCUAAAAUAACACGAAACAAACCGAAAGAAUUUACCUGCGCGGGGUUCUGGAGCAGUUCCUUGAAAUCUGCCUUUGGAACGUGCAUCAACAACCUGGCUUAAUUUACUUUCGAUAUUAUCAUUGAUAUCGUUAAAAUUCUUAACAAGUUCGGGGCGGUAUCUGGCAAUAAAUUUAGACGGUGGGAAUGUCUCCACUUUAUCAGUGACCGAUUGGUUCAGUGAAAGCCAUUUAGGUAAUCCUCCAUCUAACACUGACACGAAAUCGUGACCAAAUACUCGAAAGGUCCACCAAACACGGGCUGCAGAAAAAAGCCCGAACUUUUCACUGGUAUCAUAGACAAUAACAUGACUGUCGUUUUUAAUUCCCAUUCGACGUACAUAAUCUUCAAAUUCUUCAGGUGAUGGUAACAUAUGGGGGUAUGGAGAAUUCUGAUCGACGCACUCGUUAACAUCGAAAAACAGAGCACCAGGAAUAUGUUUCACUGCAUACUCUGCCUUCUGAUCACGGUUAGCUGCUGGCAUAUGAAAAGAUCCAUCCAGAAUACGAAUGCAUGGGUCUUUUGAGGCUAUUCUUGAUGCCAACCAUUUUACUGAUACAACAGCUGAGUUCUUCAACAUGUUAAAUUCCUUCCUGGUUAGAAAGAAGUUCACUCAAAAUAGAAUUUUAUGUCAAAUUUAAGAGUUAUCACCCCUGAAAAAACUACCAAUGAAUACAGAUUGUGUAUAUGUGAAGGUGCGUGGCUUAUUGGUUAGGUAUUCGCCUCGCGAUCGUAAGGACGCGGGUUCGAUUUCGACGGCGUGUUUUGUCUUGAGCAAGACACUUUAUUCACGUUACUUAAGUCUAUUCAGCUGGCAAAAAUGAGUUGUACCUGUACUUCAAAUGGCCGACCUUGCAACAUUCAAUGUCGCACUGAAUCUCCCUGAGAACUACGUCAAGGAUAUGCAUGUCUGUGGGGUACUCAUCCACUUACACGUUAAUUUAUAUGAUCUCACAUUCGCCUUUUCGACCCCCUCUCCUCCGUUUUACCCAUUUUCCCCCCAUUUAUUUUUUCUUCCUUUCCCUUUCAUUAUCCUUUAGGUUCUUUAUUUCUCGGUCAAUAUAAAGUUUGAGGCCCGUUAACGAAAGCAAAAAAAAAAAAA